GGGUAUGGCACUGCGGACCGGAGCGGCACGGCUGUUGGUGUUUGUUGCAGGGGGGCCGCAGGGUUGAAAUCCUGGAAGCGUGUCAGUGUUCUCCUUGACUCGCUGGAAGAGUGCAGGCAGAGGCCGAACCAACAAACUUACAUCACAGUCUUGACCUCCUGCAGCUGGAAUGGAAACAUUUGUCCUUUGCAAGAAACUCUGAAGUUGCUUCUAUUACUUCUCUAAAUUCAGGAAGUAAUAGAGAACGGAUCCUGGAUGCAUAUAAGUGGAGGUAACAGAUUGGCUUACAGCUUUUUGAGGUCCUGCAUGUGGUUUUGAUGCAGACCAAGCAGAAACCUCUUCCAGUAACUGCACAAGCGAAAGAAAAAGGUACAGAUGGAGAAACCAAGUGCAAAUCGGAUAACACCUCCUCAAUCUUUUUCUCCUCCUUUGUAUCGCGGAUGGGAUUUUUCCACACUCGCAAGGAGCUCGGCGGGAUCCGCGAAGAGCGGGUUGGGAAUAUAAGAUGUGACGGAGAGAAGAGGCCAACAGUCAUCUGGAAUGUGACGAAAUCUUAGAAGGUGACAAAAAAGGAAAUGGUGAGAGAGUUCUGGAAUCCUGCAGGUCAUCUGAACCCUAUAGGACUGUAUGGAAAUAUGGAAUAUGACAGAAUUCUGGAUUGAAGAAUAUUCUGGA